UGUCCAGACUCCUACAGGAGGCAGCAGUGAGGAAUAUUGGUCAAUGGACGCAAGUCUGAACCAGCCAAGUAGCGUGCAGGAUGACGGCCCUCCGGGUUGUAAACUGCUUUUAGUUGGGAAUAAAAGGGGGCUCGUGAGCCCCGUAUUGUAUGUACCAUCAGAAAAAGGACCGGCUAAUUCCGUGCCAGCAGCCGCGGUAAUACGGAAGGUCCGGGCGUUAUCCGGAUUUAUUGGGUUUAAAGGGAGCGUAGGCCGGCUUUUAAGUCAGCUGUGAAAGUCCGCGGCUCAACUGCGGAACGGCUUUGGAAACUGAGUAACUGGAGUGCUGGAGGGGCAGGCGGAAUUCCUGGUGUAGCGGUGAAAUGCGUAGAUAUCAGGAGGAACACCGGUGGCGAAGGCGGCCUGCUGGACAGUAACUGACGUUGAGGCUCGAAAGCGUGGGGAGCAAACAGGAUUAGAUACCCGCGUAU
rnacentral:rRNA from 1 species